AUUGAACGCUGGCGGCAUGCUUUACACAUGCAAGUCGAACGGUAACAGGUUAAGCUGACGAGUGGCGAACGGGUGAGUAAUGCAUCGGAACGUGCCCGGUCGUGGGGGAUAACGCAGCGAAAGCUGCGCUAAUACCGCAUACGAUCUAAGGAUGAAAGCGGGGGGCCGUAAGGCCUCGCGCGAUCGGAGCGGCCGAUGUCAGAUUAGGUAGUUGGUGGGGGAAAGGCUCACCAAGCCAACGAUCUGUAGCUGGUCUGGGAGGACGACCAGCCACACUGGGACGUGGACACGGACCAGACACCUACGGGAGGCAGCAGUGGGGAAUUUUGGACAAUGGGCGAAAGCCUGAUCCAGCAAUGCCGCGUGCAGGAAGAAGGCCUUCGGGUUGUAAACUGCUUUUGUACGGGGCGAAAAGGUCUCCUCUAAUACAGGGGGCUCAUGACGGUACCGUAAGAAUAAGCACCGGCUAACUACGUGCCAGCCGCCGCCGUAA
rnacentral:rRNA from 1 species